rnacentral:rRNA from 1 species
UACGGGGGGGGCAAGCGUUGUUCGGAAUUACUGGGCGUAAAGGGCUCGUAGGUGGCCAACUAAGUCAGACGUGAAAUCCCUCGGCUUAACCGGGGAACUGCGUCUGAUACUGGAUGGCUUGAGUUUGGGAGAGGGAUGCGGAAUUCCAGGUGUAGCGGUGAAAUGCGCAGAUAUCAGGAGGAACACCGAUGGCGAAGGCAGGUCUCUGGGCAUUAACUGACGCUGAGGAGCGAAAGCAUGGGGAGCGAACAGG